UACGGGGGGGGCAAGCGUUGUCCGGAAUUAUUGGGCGUAAAGAGCUCGUAGGCGGUCUGUCGCGUCUGCUGUGAAAACUCAGGGCUUAACCCUGAGCUUGCAGUGGGUACGGGCAGACUAGAGUGCGGUAGGGGAGACUGGAAUUCCUGGUGUAGCGGUGAAAUGCGCAGAUAUCAGGAGGAACACCGGUGGCGAAGGCGGGUCUCUGGGCCGUAACUGACGCUGAGGAGCGAAAGCGUGGGGAGCGAACAGG
rnacentral:rRNA from 1 species